rnacentral:rRNA from 1 species
CCUACGGGAGGCAGCAGUGAGGAAUAUUGGUCAAUGGACGAGAGUCUGAACCAGCCAAGUAGCGUGAAGGAUGACUGCCCUAUGGGUUGUAAACUUCUUUUAUAUGGGAAUAAAAUGUUCCACGUGUGGGAUUUUGUAUGUACCAUAUGAAUAAGGAUCGGCUAACUCCGUGCCAGCAGCCGCGGUAAUACGGAGGAUCCGAGCGUUAUCCGGAUUUAUUGGGUUUAAAGGGAGCGUAGGUGGAUUGUUAAGUCAGUUGUGAAAGUUUGCGGCUCAACCGUAAAAUUGCAGUUGAAACUGGCAGUCUUGAGGACAGUAGAGGUGGGCGGAAUUCGUGGUGGAGCGGUGAAAUGCUUAGAUAUCACGAAGAACUCCGAUUGCGAAGGCAGUUCACUGGACUGCAACUGACACUGAGGCUCGAAAGUGUGGGUAUCAAACAGGAUUAGAUACCCGUGUAGUC